CUAUUCAACCGCCAAGGAUAGUCCAUACAUCCCCUUCCAAACAUAUUUUAUUUAGGUACCAGUAGACUCCUUGAUAGUAGCACUAAUAUAACUCUAGCAGCUUGAGAAGAAUCCAGUAUAUAAAGGUAGUGAGUACAUCAAAUAAUCCAUAAUCCACGCCACUAACACGUUUCUUUACAUCUUCUAUACAUUCUGCUUCCAAUACUAUCGGCACUCACUGCUUAUUUUGUUGGAUCUUCUUUGCUUAAGAUGCUACAUUACCUUACUGAAGUUUCAUUUGCAAGCAGCUCAUAAUAGUUACAUAUAUAUACUCAUGCCCCAAAUGACUACACAGAUGGACCCAAAAACAAAUCUUAUGAUAUCGCUGCCAAGUUAUCAAGUUUUUGCAUAACUUAAGAUUGGAAAGAAAUUUGGAUUAAGCGUGAGUAAAACAAUACAUGGAACUGAAAUUGCACAUAAUUUACAACUUAAAUAAAACAUAUGAAGUCCAGACUCAUUGUCAAAAGGGAGCAAUGAGUACAGUGCUAAUUCGCACUCAGUGACGUAAAUUCCCAGAUCAGCCUCUGAUUUUAAAUCAAAUGUGUAUCACAACUCGCAAACAACUGGUUAAUUUGUUUUUUUCUCAAAUUACUUGAAGCAGCACAUAAAUUACAUCUUAAUAAAACAUACAAAAGUCUAGGGAGCAAUGAACACAGUGCUAAUUCGCACUCACUGAUGUAAAAUUCCCAGAAUGUCUUUGAUUUUUUAUCAAUUUGUAUCAUAACUACCAAACAACUGGUUAAUUUGUUUUUUUCUCAAAUUACUUGAAGCAGCACAUAAAUUACAUCUUAAUAAAACAUACAAAAGUCUAGGGAGCAAUGAACACAGUGCUAAUUCGCACUCACUGAUGUAAAAUUCCCAGAAUGUCUUUGAUUUUUUAUCAAUUUGUAUCAUAACUACCAAACAACUGGUUAAUUUGUUUUUUUCUCAAAUUACUUGAAACGGCACAUAAUUUACAUCUUAAAUAAAGCAUACAAAGUUCAGACUCAUAGUCAAAAAGGAGCAAUGAACACAAUGCUAAUUCGCACUCACCGACAUAAAUUUUCAGCUCUCAGCUCAUCCGCUAUCAACUCAAAGGGAAUCAUGUAUCAACUCCCAAACAACUGGUUGAUUUACAAUUUUUUUCCUCAAAUUACUCAGAACGUGAUAUCUACCAAAUUAGAAUACUUAGAAGCUAAAAUAUGGUAUUUCAACCAAUUUCAAGAUGUAUAAACAGGCAAAUGGAUCUGAAAAUGGAA
rnacentral:lncRNA from 1 species